AGUGAACGCUGGCGGCAGGCCUAACACAUGCAAGUCGAACGGCAGCACGGCAGUAGCAAUACUGUGGGUGGCGAGUGGCGGACGGGUGAGGAAAACGUAGGAACGUGCCCCUUGGAGUUGGAUAGCCACGGGAAACUGUGGGUAAACCGACAUAGACUCGAGAGAGUAAAGGCCGAAAGGCGCCAAGGGAGCGGCCUGCGGCCCAUCAGGUAGUUGGUAGUGUAAAGGACUACCAAGCCGACGACGGGUAGCCGGUCUGAGAGGAUGGCCGGCCACAAGGGCACUGAGAGACGGGCCCUACUCCUACGGGAGGCAGCAGUGGGGGAUUUUGGACAAUGGGCGAAAGCCUGAUCCAGCGACGCCGCGUGGAGGACGAAGCCCUUCGGGGUGUAAACUCCUUUUCUCAGGGAAAAGGAUGAUGGUACCUGAGGAAUAAGCCCCGGCUAACUACGUGCCAGCAGCCGCGGUAAGCCUAGUCUACG
rnacentral:rRNA from 1 species